AAAUUUAGGAUCAAAUUAAACCGAGAGCCUUCAAAGCUCUAAACAGAAGCAAGUAAUCUAAUUUCUG
rnacentral:tRNA from 1 species